ensembl:snoRNA
AUGCCAGCCUCCAGCGUGCUUGGGUCUGCAGUGAAACCCUGUGCAUUGCUACAGUGCUUGCAAGAACAGUUUUGAAAUGGUUUGAGACCUUGCUCUGCUCUGUCUACAGAGCAAGAUAAUAGAAAUUUCAGACAAUU